rnacentral:rRNA from 1 species
UACGUAGGGGGCAAGCGUUAUCCGGAUUUACUGGGUGUAAAGGGAGCGUAGGCGGCUGAGCAAGUCAGAAGUGAAAGCCCGGGGCUCAACUCCGGGACUGCUUUUGAAACUGUGCAGCUAGAUUGCAGGAGGGGCAAGUGGAAUUCCUAGUGUAGCGGUGAAAUGCGUAGAUAUUAGGAGGAACACCAGUGGCGAAGGCGGCUUGCUGGACUGUAAAUGACGCUGAGGCUCGAAAGCGUGGGGAGCAAACAGG